rnacentral:rRNA from 2 species
CCGGGGUUCUAUACAUGCAGUCGAACGCGUUGGCCCAUUGAUUGAUGGUGCUUGCACCUGAUUGAUUUUGGUCGCCAACGAGUGGCGGACGGGUGAGUAACACGUAUGUAACCUGCCCAGAAGCGGGGGACAACGUUUGGAAACAGAUGCUAAUACCGCAUAACAACAUUGUUCGCAUGAACGACGCUCAAAAUAUGGCUUCUCGCUGUCACUUCUGGAUGGACCUGCGGUGCAUUAGCUUGUUGGUGGGGUAACGGCCUACCAAGGCCAAGAUGCAUAACCGAGUUGACAGACUGAUCGGCCACAAUGGGACUGAGACACGGCCCAUACUCCUACGGGAGGCAGCCCUAGGGAAUCUUCCACAAUGGGCGCAAGCCUGAUGGAGCAACACCGCGUGAGUGAAGAAGGGUUUCGGCUCGUAAAGCUCUGUUGUUAAAGAAGAACACUGAUGAUAGUAACUGUUCAUACAUUGACGGUAUUUAACCAAAAAGUCACGGCUAACUACCUGCCAUCAGCCGCGGUAAUACGUAGGUGGCAAGCGUUGUCCGGAUUUAUUGGGCGUAAAGAGAGUGCAGGCGGAUUUCUAAGUCUGAUGUGAAACCCUUCAGCUUAACCGGAGAAUUGCAUCCUAGACUGGAUAACUUGAGUGCGGAACAGGUGGGGGAAACUUCUGGUAAACGGGGGAGCAGAAGAGGGUAGUGGAACUCCAUGUGUAGCGGUGGAAUGCGUAGAUAUAUGGAAGAACACCAGUGGCGAAGGCGGCUACCUGGUCUGCAACUGACGCUGAGACUCGAAAGCAUGGGUAGCGAACAGGAUUAGAUACCCUGGUAGUCCAUGCCGUAAACGAUGAGUGCUAGGUGUUGGAGGGUUUCCGCCCUUCAGUGCCGGAGCUAACGCAUUAAGCACUCCGCCUGGGGAGUACGACCGCAAGGUUGAAACUCAAAGGAAUUGACGGGGGCCCGCACAAGCGGUGGAGCAUGUGGUUUAAUUCGAAGCUACGCGAAGAACCUUACCAGGUCUUGACAUCUUGCGCCAACCCUAGAGAUAGGGCGUUUCCUUCGGGAACGCAAUGACAGGUGGUGCAUGGUCGUCGUCAGCUCGUGUCGUGAGAUGUUGGGUUAAGUCCCGCAACGAGCGCAACCCUUGUUACUAGUUGCCAGCAUUAAGUUGGGCACUCUAGUGAGACUGCCGGUGACAAACCGGAGGAAGGUGGGGACGACGUCAGAUCAUCAUGCCCCUUAUGACCUGGGCUACACACGUGCUACAAUGGACGGUACAACGAGUCGCGAACUCGCGAGGGCAAGCAAAUCUCUUAAAACCGUUCUCAGUUCGGACUGCAGGCUGCAACUCGCCUGCACGAAGUCGGAAUCGCUAGUAAUCGCGGAUCAGCAUGCCGCGGUGAAUACGUUCCCGGGCCUUGUACACACCGCCCGUCACACCAUGAGAGUUUGUAACACCCAAAGUCGGUGGGGUAACCUUUUAGGAGCCAGCCGCCUAAGGUGGGACAGAUGAUUAGGGUGAAG